UCGGUUCACCGAGAAAUGGGAGUGGCGAACGGGUGAGUAACACGUGGGUAACCUACCCAUCAGCGGGGGAUAACACUUGGAAACAGGUGCUAAUACCGCAUAAUUCUUUUCUUCGCCUGGAGGGAAGAUGAAAGACGCUUUUGCGUCACUGAUGGAUGGACCCGCGCUGCAUUAGCUAGUUGGUGGGGUAACGGCUCACCAAGGCCACGAUGCAUAGCCGACCUGAGAGGGUGAUCGGCCACACUGGGACUGAGACACGGCCCAGACUCCUACGGGAGGCAGCAGUAGGGAAUCUUCGGCAAUGGACGAAAGUCUGACCGAGCAACGCCGCGUGAGUGAAGAAGGUUUUCGGAUCGUAAAACUCUGUUGUUAGAGAAGAACAAGGAUGAGAGUAGAAUGUUCAUCCCUUGACGGUAUCUAACCAGAAAGCCACGGCUAACUACGUGCCAGCAGCCGCGGUAAUACGUAGGUGGCAAGCGUUGUCCGGAUUUAUUGGGCGUAAAGCGAGCGCAGGCGGUUUCUUAAGUCUGAUGUGAAAGCCCCCGGCUUAACCGGGGAGGGUCAUUGGAAACUGGGAGACUUGAGUGCAGAAGAGGAGAGUGGAAUUCCAUGUGUAGCGGUGAAAUGCGUAGAUAUAUGGAGGAACACCAGUGGCGAAGGCGACUCUCUGGUCUGUAACUGACGCUGAGG
rnacentral:rRNA from 1 species